GCUAUAGCUCAGUGGGGUUAAACACUUGCCUUACAUGCAGAAGGUCCCAGGUUCAAUCCCUGGCAUCUGCU